GACGAACGCUGGCGGCAUGCCUAACACAUGCAAGUCGAACGAUCCCUUCGGGGAUAGUGGCGCACGGGUGCGUAACGCGUGGGAAUCUGCCCUCAGGUACGGAAUAACUCAGGGAAACUUGAGCUAAUACCGUAUAAUGACUUCGGUCCAAAGAUUUAUCGCCUGGGGAUGAGCCCGCGUCGGAUUAGCUAGUUGGUGAGGUAAAAGCUCACCAAGGCGACGAUCCGUAGCUGGUCUGAGAGGAUGAUCAGCCACACUGGGACUGAGACACGGCCCAGACUCCUACGGGAGGCAGCAGUGGGGAAUAUUGGACAAUGGGCGCAAGCCUGAUCCAGCAAUGCCGCGUGAGUGAUGAAGGCCUUAGGGUUGUAAAGCUCUUUUACCCGGGAAGAUAAUGACUGUACCGGGAGAAUAAGCCCCGGCUAACUCCGUGCCAGCAGCCGCGGUGAUACGGAGGGGGCUAGCGUUGUUCGGAAUUACUGGGCGUAAAGCGCACGGU
rnacentral:rRNA from 1 species